rnacentral:snRNA from 1 species
AUCUCUCUUCGGAGACAUCCAAUAAAAUUGGAACGAUACAGAGAAGACUAACAUGGCCCAUGCGCAAAGAUGACACGCACAAAUCGAGAAAUAUGAAAAAAGGGAAUAUUUUU